CAGAUGGGUUGUUCAUUUUUAGUUUGUGUUAACUAAUGCAUUAACCACAAUUAUUCUGUUAAUGUAAAGAGAUGCAUUAUUAAAUGUAUAUUUGAACAUUAAAGGCUACGAAAUAUCGACGGAUAGCAGACUCUGAGGUAAUUAGCUUUUUUUAUACCCAAACACAAAAUAAUAAGUUCUGAUAUACUGGGUUCUAUAUUGUUUUCUAUUGUUGAACAAGACCUUCAGCCAAAUAGACCUAGGUUGUAAAUAAUAUUAACAACAACAACAGCAACAACAAUAAUGUAAAAGACAAUUUGCACAACUGUUAUAACAUGAUUUGUUCUUAUUCAUUUCAGAAUACAUCUAGGAGUAGGUGUAGAGAGAGUUACAAAAGCUAUCUUAAAUGUUCAUCCUUCCAGAAAGAAAGGAGACAGGUCUUAAAAGAGGGCUCUCAGAAUGCUCCUGAUGAAGGACCUGUCACAGAAGUUGAAAGCAUUCAAACAGCUGAAGUUCAGCAGCAGGACACACACAAAACUAAUUCAUCAGAGCCUGCCAGUGGACAGGGCCACUCUGUUCAAGUGAUGGACCUACCCUCCACAUCAGAGCAAGACAGCACUUUUCUUGAA
rnacentral:lncRNA from 1 species